AUAAUUUAGGGUUUAGGGUUUAGAGUUAAGCGGUGGGCUUUUGGGGGUAUGAUUUCAAAUUUUAGAAACUUUAAAAAUUUUAAAAUUUUCAAAAUAAAAAAGUCUAUUUUGGUCAUUUUAUUUUUUGAGAUCUAUUUUUGUGACACAAAACUUAAAAAAGAUCUAUUUGAGAGAAAUUUCUUUUGUGUUUUUCUUUGCAUCAUAUUUUUAUUUUUAUAAUCAUAUAUUCAUAUUUGUGUAAAAUAUAUAUAGUUUUAGAUGAUUAGUAAUGGUUUU
rnacentral:lncRNA from 1 species